rnacentral:ncRNA from 2 species
UAACCAGAGUCGAAAGAUUCUACUGAAUCCGCAGGAGUCAGCAGAGGCUAUAGUACGCCAGUAUGGGACGCCGGAAAGCGGAAGGGC